UGCUCUUUCCGAUCUGCUCAAUCCUGUGGCAUAGCGACUACCCAUACUUCCUUGUACAGCAGUGUGUGACAUGGCUGAAGC